ACAUGCAAGUCGAACGGCAGCACAGUAAGAGCUUGCUCUUAUGGGUGGCGAGUGGSGGACGGGUGAGGAAUACAUCGGAAUCUACCUUUUCGUGGGGGAUAACGUAGGGAAACUUACGCUAAUACCGCAUACGACCUUCGGGUGAAAGCAGGGGACCUUCGGGCCUUGCGCGGAUAGAUGAGCCGAUGUCGGAUUAGCUAGUUGGCGGGGUAAAGGCCCACCAAGGCGACGAUCCGUAGCUGGUCUGAGAGGAUGAUCAGCCACACUGGAACUGAGACACGGUCCAGACUCCUACGGGAGGCAGCAGUGGGGAAUAUUGGACAAUGGGCGCAAGCCUGAUCCAGCCAUACCGCGUGGGUGAAGAAGGCCUUCGGGU
rnacentral:rRNA from 1 species